AUUAGAGUUUGAUCCUGGCUCAGAUUGAACGCUGGCGGUAUGCUUUACACAUGCAAGUCGAACGGGCUUUGGGGCUUGCUCCAAAGUUAGUGGCGAACGGGUGAGUAACAUAUCGGAACAUGUCCGGAAGUGGGGGAUAACGUACCGAAAGGUACGCUAAUACCGCAUAUGCCCCGAGGGGGAAAGGGGGGGAUCGCAAGACCUCUCGCUUUCGGAGUGGCCGAUAUCGGAUUAGCUAGAUGGCGGGGUAAAGGCCCACCAUGGCGACGAUCCGUAGCUGGUCUGAGAGGACGACCAGCCACACUGGAACUGAGACACGGUCCAGACUCCUACGGGAGGCAGCAGUGGGGAAUUUUGGACAAUGGGCGCAAGCCUGAUCCAGCCAUACCGCGUGAGUGAAGAAGGCCUUCGGGUUGUAAAGCUCUUUCGGACAGAAAGAAAUCGUGCGGAAUAACACUCUGUAUGGAUGACGGUACUGUAAGAAGAAGCACCGGCUAACUACGUGCCAGCAGCCGCGGUAAUACGUAGGGUGCGAGCGUUAAUCGGAAUUACUGGGCGUAAAGCGUGCGCAGGCGGUUUUGUAAGACAGACGUGAAAUCCCCGGGCUUAACCUGGGAACUGCGUUUGUGACUGCAAGGCUAGAGUGUAGCAGAGGGGGGUGGAAUUCCACGUGUAGCAGUGAAAUGCGUAGAUAUGUGGAGGAAUACCGAUGGCGAAGGCAGCCCCCUGGGCUAACACUGACGCUCAUGCACGAAAGCGUGGGGAGCAAACAGGAUUAGAUACCCUGGUAGUCCACGCCCUAAACGAUGUCAACUAGGUGUUGGGGAAGGAGACUUCUUUAGUACCGCAGCUAACGCGCUAAGUUGACCGCCUGGGGAGUACGGUCGCAAGAUUAAAACUCAAAGGAAUUGACGGGGACCCGCACAAGCGGUGGGAUUAUGUGGAUUAAUUCGAUGCAACGCGAAAAACCUUACCUACCCUUUGACAUGCCAGGAAGAUUCCAGAGAUGGGGAUUUGUGCCCGCAAGGGAACC
rnacentral:rRNA from 1 species